CUGCCGAAGCAACUAGCCCUGAAAAUGGAUGGCGCUUCAGCGUCGACCCCAUACCCGGCCGCCGCGGCCGAAAAGCCUCGUGUUUUAAGCCGCGGUGAGUAGGAGGGGCGCGGAGGCGAGCGUCGAAGGUGCCGGGCGUAAGCCCGCCUGGAGCCGCCUCCGGCGCAGAUCUUGGUGGUAGUAGCAAAUACUCAAGUGAGAACCUUGAGGACUGAGGUGGAGAAGGGUUCCAUGUGAACAGCAGUUGAACAUGGGUCAGUCGGUCCUAAGGGAUAGGAGAAAUCCGUUCCGAGGCGGGACCUCUCAAUAUACGAAAGUCCCGCUGAUGACCGAAAGGGAAUCGGGUUAAUAUUCCCGAACCCGGACGCGGAGAUCGUCCUCUUCGGAGGUACAUUGCGGUAACGCAAACGAGCUCGGAGACGUCGACGGGAGCACCGGGAAGAGUUAUCUUUUCUUUGUAAGGAUUCGACUCCCUGGAAUCGGCUCGCCCGGAGAUAGGGAUGGUGUUUCCGUAAAGCACCGCGCCUCUUGCGGUGUCCGGAUCGCUCCCGUCGGCCCUUGAAAAUCCGAGUGAGAGAUAGUGAUUUUCGUGCCGGACCGUACC
rnacentral:rRNA from 1 species